GACGAACGCUGGCGGCGUGCCUAAUACAUGCAAGUAGAACGCUGAAGGAGGAGCUUGCUUCUCUGGAUGAGUUGCGAACGGGUGAGUAACGCGUAGGUAACCUGCCUGGUAGCGGGGGAUAACUAUUGGAAACGAUAGCUAAUACCGCAUAAGAGUAGAUGUUGCAUGACAUUUGCUUAAAAGUUGCAAUUGCAUCACUACCAGAUGGACCUGCGUUGUAUUAGCUAGUUGGUGGGGUAACGGCUUACCAAGGCGACGAUACAUAGCCGACCUGAGAGGGUGAUCGGCCACACUGGGACUGAGACACGGCCCAGACUCCUACGGGAGGCAGCAGUAGGGAAUCUUCGGCAAUGGACGGAAGUCUGACCGAGCAAAGCCGCGUGAGUGAAGAAAGUUUUCGGGUCGUAAAGCUCUGUUGUAAGAGAAGAAAGAGUGUGAGAGUGGAAAGUUCACACUGUGACGGUAUCUUACCAGAAAGGGACGGCUAACUACGUG
rnacentral:rRNA from 1 species